AGGCUCAGUGACCCUGACUUGCAACAUAUCCAACAAAAAUGCAACACAAAUCUCCUGGACCAACGGCAGAUCUGUUUUCCAAUAUUCCGUUGUGCUGAACUGCACAUUUUCAAAUUUCUCAUUUUACAAACUGAAUAUAAAUCAUGAGUUACCUACAGAGCUAACUAUUUUUAGUGCUCAGCCUGAGGAUGAAGGACUUUAUACAUGUGCCAUAACUGGCAAAGAUGGCCUACACAGCAUUACGUGGAAUUUAACUGUGUCUGAGAAACCCACAGAAUCCAUUUCAAAGUAUUUUCUAUCCAUAUCACCUGCAAUUGGAUUCAUUCUAUGUGGCAUCAUGUUGGCUGUUUUCCUCUGCAGUACUAAGAUGAGGGGUUUCAUGACUGGUCACUGCAUUUUCUCUCCAGAAAAAUUAUGACGAAGAAACGGAAUCAAGGUCCAGACUGCAGUGAGAUUCCUCCUGAGUCAGAGGAGUUGGAGCUCCAUCAACCACAGGGUGACACUGCUCAUUGGAAAAAUAACAAGCGGAGGAGUCAGUAUAUGGAGAACCUGAAUUCAAUCUAUGAUCACUUCUAAGCUGAUGAGCCAUGCAGUUACACAGAGACAUGGACAUUUUUCAUUUUCAAAGCAGGAACUGCAUGAGAACACAUCAGAGGAAAUGAAACAGAGCUACUAUAGCCUCUUUAGCUCAAGCAUGCAGGUGUCUGUGAACGUACGGAGUUUUUUCUCUUACACCUCUGAUUUAUCUGUAGCAGCAGCUUUACUUGCAUCCUGAAUCAUGUGUGUAAAACAUCCAUAACUUUGUAGUAUUAUAGUUUACUGUUCAUAUGUGAAAUCAUCCACUCAGUUUCCUGUGCACUGAUCAAUGUGACUGUGAAUCAGAUGUUGCCAUUGCCACCACUUUCAUGUGAACAUGCUCAUAGUUAAGGUAAACCUGGGUUUACUUACCAAGCUGAUAUUUGAUGUUGACCAGCUGAUUUUUUUCCAUGUAAAAAUAAAUCACGAGUUACCUAC